AGGCCCUUCGGGGUACACGAGCGGCGAACGGGUGAGUAACACGUGAGCAACCUGCCCCUGACUCUGGGAUAAGCGGUGGAAACGCCGUCUAAUACCGGAUACGACCCGCCACCUCAUGGUGGAGGGUGGAAAGUUUUUUCGGUCAGGGAUGGGCUCGCGGCCUAUCAGCUUGUUGGUGGGGUAACGGCCUACCAAGGCGAUUACGGGUAGCCGGCCUGAGAGGGCGACCGGCCACACUGGGACUGAGACACGGCCCAGACUCCUGCGGGAGGCAGCAGUGGGGAAUAUUGCGCAAUGGGCGAAAGCCUGACGCAGCGACGCCGCGUGGGGGAUGACGGCCUUCGGGUUGUAAACCUCUUUUACCACCAACGCAGGCUCCGGGUUCUCUCGGGGUUGACGGUAGGUGGGGAAUAAGGACCGGCUAACUACGUGCCAGCAGCCGCGGUAAUACGUAGGGUCCGAGCGUUGUCCGGAAUUAUUGGGCGUAAAGAGCUCGUAGGCGGCGUGUCGCGUCUGCUGUGAAAGACCGGGGCUUAACUCCGGUUCUGCAGUGGAUACGGGCAUGCUAGAGGUAGGUAGGGGAGACUGGAAUUCCUGGUGUAGCGGUGAAAUGCGCAGAUAUCAGGAGGAACACCGGUGGCGAAGGCGGGUCUCUGGGCCUUACCUGACGCUGAGGAGCGAAAGCAUGGGGAGCGAACAGGAUUAGAUACCCUGGUAGUCCAUGCCGUAAACGUUGGGCGCUAGGUGUGGGGACUUUCCACGGUUUCCGCGCCGUAGCUAACGCAUUAAGCGCCCCGCCUGGGGAGUACGGCCGCAAGGCUAAAACUCAAUGA
rnacentral:rRNA from 1 species